rnacentral:rRNA from 1 species
AGUGAACGCUGGCGGUAGGCCUAACACAUGCAAGUCGAACGGCAGCACAGUAAGAGCUUGCUCUUACGGUUGGCGAGUGGCGGACGGGUGAGGAAUACAUCGGAAUCUACUUUUUCGUGGGGGAUAACGUAGGGAAACUUACGCUAAUACCGCAUACGACCUACGGGUGAAAGCAGGGGAUCUUCGGACCUUGCGCGAUUGAAUGAGCCGAUGUCGGAUUAGCUAGUUGGCGGGGUAAAGUCCCACCAAGGCGACGAUCCGUAGCUGGUCUGAGAGGAUGAUCAGCCACACUGGAACUGGGACACGGGCCAGACUACUACGGGAGGCAGCAGUGGGGAAUAUUGGACAAUGGGCGGAAGCCUGAUGCAGCAAUACCGCGUGGGUGAAGAAGGCAUUAGGGUUGUAAAGCCCUUUUGUUGGGAAAGAAAAGCAGCAGGUUAAUACACCGCUGUUAUGACGGUAACCAAAGAAUAAGCACCGGCUAACUUCGUG